UUCCCCCUUCCCUUCACUUAUCUUAUUUCAAGACACCCCACACAAGUUAAAUAGUAUCAAGACCAAGACCAACAAAAGAAACUGACAGAUGAACAAAGAAGUCACUAAGCUGGAACUUGGCCACAGUUGAUUUAUAAGAGCCAUUGCAUCAGGUGGAGCAGAGAUUAAACUCAUUCUCUUUGGCCUCAGAAAGCAGAUAUAGGAGCAAAAGAUAAAACUGGGAAGACACAUAUGAACUCAUGUAAAGUGAAAUCAGCAGAACCAAGAGAUCUUUGUUUUUA
rnacentral:lncRNA from 1 species